GUGCUCCUGCCCCCACAACAGAUCCCUUCCCCCCCGCUUCCCGGCUCGGUGCCAGCUGAAGGCUGAUCAUUAACCAGUCAUCGUGGCAGCCCUUGCCAGCCUGGACGCUGUCACUGGGAGGAGUGAGGGCUGAGGGGACCUUGCAUCUGUUCUGCACAGCAUUCUUGACCAGCUCGGUCCUCUUUUUGGCCUUGCUCACUGCCAAGGAAGGAAAAGUUCCCAAGACUAAGAAUCUAUGGACUUGUCCCGAGGCUUCUUCCCUGACAUGAUCUCCCAUCCCCAGGAAGUCCCUUGGAGGGACUAUGAAGGAAGCUGAGCGUGGGGACACACGCCUGUAAUCUUGGGAAGGAGGAACACCACUUCGAGGCUGGCCUGGAGUCACACUGAGACCCAUACAGGUGAAAACAAAGCAAGAUAGAAAGUUCGAGAAGGAGAAGUACAGGGAAGAAAUACUGGACGGAGAACAAAGGAUAGAACAGGCUGUGGCCAAACCUCAUCGUGACUCAUCACAUGGCCAAGGCAGGAGGCCCCAAGUCAGGGAGGAAUUCUUGUAUUCUGAGGAUAGAGGAAGGGACCUCAAGAAUGUGAUAGCUUCUGGAAGCUAGAAAAGCAAGACGGAUGCCCUUCGGAGCCCCGAGAAGAAACACAGCCAAGCAGACACCUUGACUCUUGGCUGGUAAGACCACUUUGGAUUUCUGGCCUUAGAAAUGUAGUAUGUGUCAGGCUAUGGAGUUUGAUGUAAUUUGUACAGCAGCAUCAGGAGAAAAAUACAGUGUUCAAAGGCCAACCCGAGGCACCCUGGUGAAGACAAGAAACCCAGAGUCCAUUCUUCGGCACCUGAUACUCCAGGACCACGGGGGGUGGGGUGGGGGGGUGGGGUGGGUGGGUGGGGGGGAACGGGGACAGACUGGGAAGCUGAAACUUGCCCUCUACCUUGUCUCACAGAGGGCAGGCCCACAGGGACCGGAUCUGGCCAAUCAUGGUUUACUAGUGACCUACAGUAGUAAUAAAAAGGCCACGCUCCUUCUUCCUCCCCCCUUCCCACCUCCGUACGGUUCUCCUCUCACCUGCUGCCAGGGCAGGCUGGUCAAUAGACUGUCCAGCUGCCAGCCUUCGGCAGCCGGGAUGUUGUCUUUUUCUCCCAUAACUUGUGACCCAUCCAACUAGUGACCCAGAAAAAAAAAAAAGAUCGGCCUGGAAAGGGACACCAAAGUUAGCAAAACAAGUCACCUAAUCAGCUCCACCUCCGCUGCAGGCUGCCAGCCAGGAGUCACUGCAGAUUCGGCCCGGCUUUCUGGAAGGAGCCAUGGAAGGGAGACUCUCCCAGGCCCCUCUCCUUCGAGACGAGAACCAUCAGGCCUGUUUUAGAACUUGGAGCCCUGAGUUAUGGAGAGGGUGAGUAGCAUGGCCAGAGACACACAGCAAAGUCAGACUGGGCCAGAGCAGAAGGCAGCUCGCCCAGCUCCUCAGGCCCGGCCGGGCUUCUCAGGCUUGGUUUUGCGGGCUUUGGUUGUACAGGUCAGUGGGGUGUGGCCUCUGGGUAGGUGGUCCCCGUGGAAUUCAGAGUUAUAAAAAAAAAUCAUUAAACCUGUCAUUACAAAGCAGGCAACUGAUGACCCAGCAGAAAAGAUUUUCCAGACUUGGGAGGGCUCUACAUUGCUGUGUGUGUGUGUGUGUGUGUGUGUGUGUGUGUGUGUGUGUGUGUGUGUUUGGAAGGUAGUCAGGGGAGAAGGGUUGAUGCACUAAACUACCGUCAGGUCAAGGCAUGUGUGCUCUGUACACAAGCCCACAGAGAGCGCCCCACCUCUGUCGAUGGACCCCCCCUUUCUCUCUCAGCAUCUCCUGGCUUUUCCUUCUCUACUAUUCUUUUGAGAGAUCCUGGACUCUCACUUCAGGAGCAAUGCUAAUCGACUCCCCAGAGUCAUUGCCAAGGACUGCGCUGCCUAAGAGUGAAUGGCUGCCCAGGCUUCUGCUACCGGAGCAACCGGCGCCACAGCCGGGCACAGAGGCGGAGCGGGCCAGCUCAAGGCCACCAGGCUGCUGACCUUUCACAGAGACCGGCCCUUCGGGGACACUCUCAUUUCUGACUCUCACGAAAGGACGCCCCUUUGUUUCCUGCAAAAGCAAGAGAAUGGAAUGACUUCAUUUCAAGUGGCACUGUGGGUCAUAAGUAUUUACACGGGUACCAGUCACCCCAGGGGGCUGCUGUGUACACGUGGAUGUGCACAGUUCUGUCAAGUGCCACCCACCCUUAAGGGCUCAGAGUGGGGAGAACUAGACUGAGUCUCACCGGGCAGAGGUGGAAAUCAGUAACCAAUGUAUGUAAUAUAUAUAUUUAUGACCACACACACACACACACACACACACACACACACACACACACACACAUCCCACACAUGCACACACGCAAAAACAGAAUAAAUGACAACAAGACCCAAUCUCAAUAGAUGCAGAAAAAACACAACACACCCUUUUAGGAGAGGGACACCCAAGGAAUAGAAGGGAGCUUCUCAGUCUGAGACAAGAUGUCUACCAAACACGCUGGGCGCACAUCAGAGUUAAUGGUGAAAGAUGAGCAAAGAUCCCUAAGCUCAAAGCUUCUGUUUGACAUUGUUCUGCAGGUUCUAGCCUGGGCAAGAAAAAUAAACUAACAAGUGUUGGCAGCCUGGGUUGGUGUCCCAAGCCUGUGAUGGGAAGGUAGAGGCAGGAAGAUCCAGCAUCCAAGGUCAGUUCAAAGCUAACCAGCAUGAAAUGAGACCUUGUUUCAAAACAAAACAAAACAAAAAACCAGAAAC